rnacentral:SRP_RNA from 1 species
AUGGUAAUUUUGGUGCAUACCUGUAGUCCAAGGGACAUGGGAGGCUGGCUUGAGUCCCUGAAUUCUGGGCUAGAGUGCACUCUGCCAAUUGGAUAUCCACACUGAGUUCAACAUCAAUAUGGUGACCUCCCAGGAGCGAGGGACCACCAGCGGCCUAAGGAGGGGUGAACAGGCCCAGGUCAGAAAGUGAACAGGUCGAAAGUCCUGUGCUGAUCAGUACACCUAUAAAUAGCUACUGUACUCCAGCCUGGACAACAUAGCAAGAUCCCGU